GAUGAACGCUGGCGGCGUGCCUAAUACAUGCAAGUCGAGCGAGCGGACGAGAAGCUUGCUUCUCUGAUGUUAGCGGCGGACGGGUGAGUAACACGUGGAUAACCUACCUAUAAGACUGGGAUAACUUCGGGAAACCGGAGCUAAUACCGGAUAAUAUUUUGAACCGCAUGGUUCAAAAGUGAAAGACGGUCUUGCUGUCACUUAUAGAUGGAUCCGCGCUGCAUUAGCUAGUUGGUAAGGUAACGGCUUACCAAGGCAACGAUGCAUAGCCGACCUGAGAGGGUGAUCGGCCACACUGGAACUGAGACACGGUCCAGACUCCUACGGGAGGCAGCAGUAGGGAAUCUUCCGCAAUGGGCGAAAGCCUGACGGAGCAACGCCGCGUGAGUGAUGAAGGUCUUCGGAUCGUAAAACUCUGCUAUUCGGGAAGAACAUAUGUGUAAGUAACUGUGCACAUCUUGACGGUACCUAAUCAGAAAGCCACGGCUAACUACGUG
rnacentral:rRNA from 1 species